rnacentral:misc_RNA from 1 species
AGUCGUAACAAGGUUUCCGUAGGUGAACCUGCGGAAGGAUCAUUACUGAUUUGCUUAAUUGCACCACAUGUGUUUUUCUUUGAAACAAACUUGCUUUGGCGGUGGGCCCAGCCUGCCGCCAGAGGUCUAAACUUACAACCAAUUUUUUAUCAACUUGUCACACCAGAUUAUUACUAAUAGUCAAAACUUUCAACAACGGAUCUCUUGGUUCUCGCAUCGAUGAAGAACGCAGCGAAAUGCGAUACGUAAUAUGAAUUGCAGAUAUUCGUGAAUCAUCGAAUCUUUGAACGCACAUUGCGCCCUCUGGUAUUCCGGAGGGCAUGCCUGUUUGAGCGUCGUUUCUCCCUCAAACCGCUGGGUUUGGUGUUGAGCAAUACGACUUGGGUUUGCUUGAAAGACGGUAGUGGUAAGGCGGGAUCGCUUUGACAAUGGCUUAGGUCUAACCAAAAACAUUGCUUGCGGCGGUAACGUCUACCACGUAUAUCUUCAAACUUUGACCUCAAAUCAGGUAGGACUACCCGCUGAACUUAAGCAUAUCAAUAAGCGGAGGAA